UUUGAUUAGGGGCUCGUCUAUGGCUAUGAAAAACCAUGCAUCUAUAUAUACACGUUAUUAUGGAGCAAAUACUUAGUCAUGUCAGAAACAAUGACAAGAAGAUUCGUAUACUUCGGUGUCUUGUUUCUGUGUGCAUUCAUUUUUUCGUCUUCAUUGUUCGCAAAGUAACUGAAACACGUAUUACCGAACGCGCCUCUCAAUGCAUGCGAUUUGUCGUUAUUAUUUCAAAUCUAAAUUAGAUGCUAACACAUAUUCCGGAAAAUUAAUGCACUGCACAUGCAUCGAUGCUAUUUGCAAGAAGAGAGAGAGAGA